UACGUAGGGUGCAAGCGUUAAUCGGAAUUACUGGGCGUAAAGCGCGCGCAGGCGGACGUGCAAGUCGGAAGUGAAAUUCCGGGGCUCAACCCCGGAGCUGCUCCCGAAACUGCUCGUCUGGAGACCGGUAGAGGCUGGUGGAAUUCCCGGUGUAGCGGUGGAAUGCGUAGAUAUCGGGAAGAACACCCGUGGCGAAGGCGGCCAGCUGGGCCGGUUCUGACGCUGAGGCGCGAAAGCGUGGGGAGCAAACAGG
rnacentral:rRNA from 1 species